rnacentral:rRNA from 1 species
CAGUCGCCGCGGUAAUACAGAGGGCGCAAGCGUUAAUCGGAAUUACUGGGCGUAAAGGGCGCGUAGGUGGUUGCGUAAGCGAGAUGUGAAAGCCCCGGGCUUAACCUGGGAACUGCAUCUUAUACUGGGUAACUGGAGUGCAGUAGAGGGUAGUGGAAUUUCCGGUGUAGCGGUGAAAUGCGUAGAUGUCGGAAGGAACACCAGUGGCGAAGGCGGCUACCUGGACUGAGACUGACACUGAGGCGCGAGAGCGUGGGGAGCAAACAGGAUUAGAUACCCGUGUAGUCCCUGUCUCUUAUAC